UGAGGAAUAUUGGGCAAUGCCCGCAAGGGUGACCCAGCAACGCCGCGUGGAGGAUGAAUGUCGUAAGAUUGUAAACUCCUGUUAGAGGGGAAGAAUAGUACCGGUUGGACCGGUAUAUGACUGUACCCUCAGAGAAAGCCCCGGCUAACUACGCGCCAGCAGCCGCGGUAAUACGUAGGGGGCAAGCGUUGUCCGGAUUUACUGGGUGUAAAGGGCGCGCAGGCGGGAUAAAAAGUCAGUGGUGAAAUCCUACAGCUUAACUGUAGAACUGCCUUUGAUACUUUUAUUCUUGAGUUCGGGAGAGAGAGACGGAAUUCCAGGUGUAGUGGUGAAAUACGUAGAUAUCUGGAAGAACACCAGUUGCGAAGGCGGUCUCUUGGUCCGACACUGACGCUGAGGCGCGAAAGCGUGGGGAGCAAAC
rnacentral:rRNA from 1 species